GAUGAAUGAUAUAAUAUGAAAAAUGUGUUUCUCUUUUUUUGAACACACCAGAUCAUUAACGGACUGAAACAGAGGAUUCUACGAUUGGAGCAGCAGUGCAAAGAAAAAGAAAAUGCCUUAAGUCAGCUUCAGAGUGACCUCAGAACUACCAACAUGCAGGAAAUGAAGAUCACUGUGGAAACCUACUUUGAAGAGGUUAAAAGAUUGCAAGCACUUUUGGAGUCAUCUGAAAGAAGGUGCAAACAUUGUUAAUUUUACUUGUAAUUUGAUGGUCCCUUCGAGCUUGUGUUUUGAUUUAGUCUUUUUCUCACUCUCUUUUUCUCUGUUCAGUAAUAAGGCAGAGAGCAAAAACAUCAGGCGGCAGAAUAAGACCCUUAGUGCAACGGUUCUGAAACUCACAAACACUGUUCAACACCUGGAGAACGAGAACCAGGAGCUCAAAAAAGAAUUGACACCGGAAGAGAUGAACAUGAUGGACAGCCCUGCAUGCCGAGCCAAGGGUUAUAUGGAUUGGAGUAAACAGAGACUUGUGCGCCGAAUCCUGGAG
rnacentral:lncRNA from 1 species